rnacentral:rRNA from 1 species
GACAGAGGUUGCAAACGUUGUUCGGAAUUACUGGGCUUAAAGCGCACGUAGGCGGUCCGUUAAGUCAUGUGUGAAAUCCCCCGGCUCAACCGGGGAAUUGCGCCUGAUACUGGCGGGCUAGAGAUCGAUAGGGGUGAGUGGAACUCCAGGUGGAGCGGUGAAAUGCGUAGAUAUCUGGAGGAACACCGGUGGCGAAAGCGGCUCACUGGAUCGAUACUGACGCUGAGGUGCGAAAGCGUGGGGAGCAAACAGG